CAGUUACAGUCAUGCAAAAACCAACACCGUCGUCACCAACGCGAACAACUUCGAUUUCAUCGACGCAUCAUACACAGAGUACUCCACGUGUAUCCAUGAAAAUUUCUGUACACAUCCGUAAGAUGGAAUCACAUCAACUCAAUCACUCCCUAAAUUUUAUUCUUGUUGCCAAACAAGCCUCCAAAUACCUGAAACAAUUUUCGGCGCCAAACAGGUUUUCUUCUACGUGUUUCGGUUACACGAGCUCUGAUGGAAACUUGUUACUUGUUCUCUGUGAAAGUAGAAAAGCAAAUUCAGUCUACAGAGUUUUCUUGCUUAUGAGAAUUCCAGUGAAUAAGAAUGGCUGUCCUCGCGGCAACAUCUGGAACAUACGUGGAAACGACGAUAACUUGCAUUUCUUUAUGCUCACAAAUUGUUCUCUUCAAUCCCCGCCAAUUUAAGUUGGAAGAAUAAAGCGGCGUCACUUACAAUGUUGUCCUGCUCUGCUCACUUAUCAUUACGGCAGCCAUUGUUGCAGACCUGUAAAUUCUAAGAAAGUUGUUACCAAAGCAGUGUCUUCGUUGAACGAGGACAAGCCUUCGUCAGGAUUGCCUAUUGAUUUGAGAGGCAAGAGAGCAUUUAUUGCUGGAGUGGCGGAUGACAAUGAAUAUGGUUAAGCAAUAGCAAAAUCUCUAGCUGCAGCUGGUGCUGAAAUUCUUGUUGGUACAUACACGCUUGUAUAUGGUUCUUUGAUGGAAAUAACCAAAGUUUAUCCGUUGGAAGCAGUUUAUGAUAGCCCUGAGGAUGUUCUUGAAGAUGAAAGCAUGAUGAUCCCAGUGUACUUUCUGGAAGAGAAUAUUUAAAUCCUAGUCCAAUAAUGAUGGUGAUAGCCUUUAUCUAUUGUCUUCUGCAGGUGAAAAAAAAAAAACAAACGAUAUUCAGGGUCCUCAAAUUGGACUUUGAAGGUAAAUAUUUUUGUAAUCUCUCUUUCAAUUAGAGUUGCAAGGUUUCUGAGUGUUUUUCUGGAGAAUUUUUGUCUCUAAACAAAGCAUCAGACCCUAGUUACAGAAGUUCACUUAGGUGCAUAGUGGAAUUGAAGCCAAUACAGGUUUGGACCCUUUUUUUUUCUUUUAGGUAAAAAAAGAAGUAAUAUUGAAAGGCUUUGACAAAUUCUUUUGGGGAUUUGGUUGUAAACCCAGUGAGCAGCUUGCAACAUGUAGAUUAAUCAACCUUAUCCUCAUAUGAAUUUCUUUAAAAAGAAAAGUAAGAAAGAAAAAUCUUAUGCUUACUUUUCCUUUUCCUUACCUUUUGAAAGAUGCAAAAUAUAAAUUCAUUCCAGAGUGACUUCGUACUACCAAGUUAUCAAGACUUGUUGGCCUUCCAUAUUUUCCAUAUUUCUUUUGUACCAGUGAAAUUUGUGCUAAUUUUUAAUAUUUUAUAAUAAUUAAAUAACUUUGCAGCGGUCACUUAAUAUUAUGUAGUUAUUUGAUUCUAAUUACAAAGUUACUAACAUAACAUCAAAUAUUAAAACAUUACCGAGGGAAUGCCUCCAAGGUAAUGUACUGUACUGUAGUGGCACCCUUCUUUAACGAACUGUAAAUUGAACACAUUUGCCACUAAACUGUUGACAUCCUUGUGGACUCCCUUGCAAAUGGGCCAAGAGGUUUACUGUCAAGUCUUUAGUACUCGUUUUUUUUUUUUCAACAUUCAAACACUUUCAUGGUGCUUAAAGAGGGAAACCAUUAGCCACACAUGUUAGCAAGCUUCUUCUGGAGAUAUCAAGGAAUGGAUAUCUUGCAGGCCCUUUCUGCCCCAACUUACUCCUUUAUGUCAUUGCUCAAGCAUUUUGUUCUGCUGGUGCUUCCAUGUCAUUAACUUAUAUUGUAUCUGAAAGUAUCAUUCCUGGAUAUAGUGGUGGCAUGAGCUCUGCAAAGGCUGCUCUUGAGAGUAACACGCGAGUCGUAGCUUCUAAGGCUGGAAGAAACCACAGAAUUAGAAUGAACACAAUAUCUGCAGGUACGAGAACUCUUUUUUUCUGAAAAAAGCUAUUUAAGUUUAUUAUUGGAACAAACAUAAAAAAUGGGUAGAAGUUUAUUGGCAAAGUUAUGUUUAGUUUCAAUUAAAAAAUUAUGUUUUUAUAAAUUGUAUUAGAAUGACAAAAAAAUUGAUUUCAUUUUUUGUUCAAAAUUUAACUAACGUUUGUCAAGUUUAUUAAAAUUUAUAAAAUUCAAAGUUCUUAAUUCCAUUUCUAUAUGAAGUUUGCAAGUGUAUUUUAUAAAUGGAUAAUCUUGUUGGCUUUGUGUUAGUUUGUUAUUGUGUUGAAAGAGCUGUGCUAUCCCCAUAACUUUCGUGUAUAUUUGGAAUAAAUAAAAGUUAUUUGCGAAAAUCAUUUCAUAAACUCAUAAUGAUUUUAACUACAACUCUGGACCUUUUAGGAAGUGAUUUAAAAUUGAGGUUGUAGAUCAUUUGAAGUAAAGUUGAGAUAAUAUGUUUCAAACAUUUUCAGUUUAACAACGUGUAAAAUGCAUCACCCAAACUCCACUUGAAUUUAUAUGAAAACUCAAAUCACUGUGAGAAAUUUUUCUCUCUCAACCAGUAUAAAUUUUUAAAUAAAUUCCAUAAACUGAAUUUUGUUACUCCAAACGUAGCCUUGGUUUCCAUAGAAAGCUCAAAUAUCUUCAAAUGAGACCACUUGCGCCCGAACUUGCACAAUUAGAAACAGGGCCAUCAAGAAACCGAGCAGCAGGCAAUUGAAUUUAUGGACAUGAUGAUUGAUUACUCGACGGCUAGUGCGUUUUACAGAAAUAACUACCAGUGGGUUGUCUACUUUCCCUUUAAAUCUCAUUUUUACUGUAAUUAAUGAAUAUUCCAAGUAAUGUUAUUGAACAGAGGAGCCUUCCUUUCGUGUCUCGCCGAAGCGGUUGCAUACGCAGACAAUGGGCUUUAAUGAAAUGGGUGUUGGAGGUGGACGGCCCGAUUUUUGAAAGCCUUGAGAUACCGAAAGAUAAGUAAAGAUGAUAUGUGCAAGACUAACAGAAUCGAUAUCUUGGGUUUUACACAUUUUUUUGAAUUUUCCUCCUCGAGCAACUCUUCUUUUUUAGUAAGUUCUCUUUUAAUAGUGUGACAAAAGAAAAUAAUUAGAUUCAGAGCACUAGUUUUAAGAUGAGACAUAAUCGAACAUUUUGGGUCCAGAAAAUAUUUAUCACGAUUCUAUCA